UUGGAGGACACAGAAACUGGAGAAACUAGUGAUGAAAAGAGUCAGUUAGAGAAUGAAGAGAACAAAGAUGAAGAAAAGAGUCAGCAAGAGAAUGAAGAGAACAAAGAUGAAGAGAAGAGUCAGGUAGAGAAUGAAGAGAACAAAGAGGAAGAAAAGAGUCAGGUAGAGAAUGAAGAGAACAAAGAUGAAGAGAAGAGUCAGCAAGAGAAUGAAGAGAACAAAGAUGGAGAAAAGAGUCAGCAAGAAAAUGUAGAGAACAAAAAUGAAGGGGAGGAGAAAGAAACUGGAGAAGUUAAAGAGGAAA
rnacentral:lncRNA from 1 species